rnacentral:piRNA from 1 species
UCUGGAAAACAUGGUGGAUUCAUUUA